UGGGGAAAAUUGGACAAUGGGCGCAAGCCUGAUCCAGCCAUGCCGCGUGAGUGAUGAAGGCCCUAGGGUUGUAAAGCUCUUUCACCGGUGAAGAUAAUGACGGUAACCGGAGAAGAAGCUCCGGCUAACUUCGUGCCAGCAGCCGCGGUAAUACGAAGGGGGCUAGCGUUGUUCGGAUUUACUGGGCGUAAAGCGCACGUAGGCGGACUUUUAAGUCAGGGGUGAAAUCCCGGGGCUAAACACCGGGACUGCCUUUGAUACUGGAAGUCUUGAGUAUGGUAGAGGUGAGUGAAAUUCCGAGUGUAGAGGUGAAAUUCGGAGAUAUUCGGAGGAACACCAGUGGCGAAGGCGGCUCACUGGACCAUUACUGACGCUGAGGUGCAAAAGCGUGGGGAGCAAACAGG
rnacentral:rRNA from 1 species